AGAUUGAACGCUGGCGGAAUGCUUUACACAUGCAAGUCGAACGGCAGCACGGGACUCAGGCAACUGAGCCCUGGUGGCGAGUGGCGAACGGGUGAGUAACAUAUCGGAACGUACCCCAGUCGUGGGGGAUAACUCUCCGAAAGGAGAGCUAAUACCGACAUACGUCCUGAGGGAGAAAGCGGGGGGACCUAAGGGUAACUGAGGGCCUCGACGCGAUUGGAGACGGCCGAUAUCGGGAUUAAGCGUAGUUGGUGAGGUAAAGUCUCACCAGGACGACGAGUCCGAGCGGGUCUGAGAGGACGACCCGCCACACCGUGGAACCUGAGACGACGGUCCAGAC
rnacentral:rRNA from 1 species